ensembl:lncRNA
UGUAUAUAGCCUCCACAUUGACUCUGUACCGGUACCACCUGUAUAUAGCCUCCGCAUUGACUCUGUACCAGUACCCCCUGUAUAUAGCCUCCACAUUGACUCUGUACCGGUACCCCCUGUAUAUAGCCUCCACAUUGACUCUGUACCAGUACCCCCUGUAUAUAACCUCCACAUUGACUCUGUACCGGUACCCCCUGUAUAUAACCUCCACACUGGCUCGGUACCGGUUCCCCCUGUAUUUAACCUCAUUAUUGUUGUUCUUAUUGUGUUACUUUUUAUUAUAACUUUGUAUUUUAGUCUCCUUGGUAAAUAUUUUCUUCUUCUUGAACUGCACUGUUGGUUAAGGG